AAUACUUAGGAAUCUGCCUAUUAGUGGGGGACAACAUUUCGAAAGGAAUGCUAAUACCGCAUACGCCCUACGGGGGAAAGCAGGGGCUCUUCGGACCUUGCGCUAAUAGAUGAGCCUAAGCCAGAUUAGCUAGUUGGUGGGGUAAAGGCCUACCAAGGCGACGAUCUGUAGCGGGUCUGAGAGGAUGAUCCGCCACACUGGGACUGAGACACGGCCCAGACUCCUACGGGAGGCAGCAGUGGGGAAUAUUGGACAAUGGGGGGAACCCUGAUCCAGCCAUGCCGCGUGUGUGAAGAAGGCCUUUUGGUUGUAAAGCACUUUAAGCGAGGAGGAGGCUCCUAUAGUUAAUACCUAUAGUGAGUGGACGUUACUCGCAGAAUAAGCACCGGCUAACUCUGUGCCAGCAGCCGCGGUAAUACAGAGGGUGCGAGCGUUAAUCGGAUUUACUGGGCGUAAAGCGUGCGUAGGUGGCCAAUUAAGUCAAAUGUGAAAUCCCUGAGCUUAACUUAGGAAUUGCAUUCGAUACUGGUUGGCUAGAGUAUGGGAGAGGAUGGUAGAAUUCCAGGUGUAGCGGUGAAAUGCGUAGAGAUCUGGAGG
rnacentral:rRNA from 1 species